GUUGGCUUUGAUAAAGUGUGCGGAAUUUUUGGAACAGUUAUACGGAAAUGCCUCAAUAGAAGCGCGCUUAGUAGGCGCACUACUAAUGGUUGGGCAGGAAAACCUAUUACUGCACUUUGACCUGUUCGAAGACAAAAAAAAAAAAAAAUAGUGUCAACUGAGUUAGCAAAAUAGUAACACGGUUAGAACUGCAUUCAUCUCCAGUAAUCCGUAUUAAAACCACCAUUGGAACGUUCCAUAUAUACUCUCCUGGAUAAGUCACAACUUGUUUCUUCGAAAUGUAGUGGGUGGAUAAGCGGCAACUGCAAGGGUUUGGGAACCAAGGAAAUUAAUCCGGAAUAUGUGUUUGUGAGUAAUUGCAAGCUGUUAGUGGGCUAAGAAGUUUUGUAUUGUACGUACCAAAGUAUGUCCUUGUCACAUGGAAAUUUAUUAUCCCAUGUAUUUACAACACGAGCUUUUAUCGGAUUAAAAAACCCAACAGCAAAGAGAAGUGGGUAACAAAGGUAUAAAUGUGAUAAAAACAACAACAACAACAACAACAACUGCAAUACCAACAAAUGCCAUACAAAUCCAACACCAACUAAACCAAGAACCAAUAGAGGCAAUGGCAAAAACAAAAAUAGAAGAAGAAGAACCAAAACCCAUGGCAACACCAACUAUUACAGAAACAAAACACAAACGGCAGUGUAAAACAACAAUGAAAUGGGUCCCAUCAUGGAGGGAUCACUGAGGAGAUUGUCAGUAAGCUAGAGCACCAACUCAAGGAAGACGACCUAUGAAACACUGGUAAGGCGGAGGAUUGUACAAAAGAAGACUCGUACGAGAGAAUUCGAGAAGGUCCAGAGAUGGGCACUGUUGAAAGGCAUGAAACAAGUCAACACGCAUUGAGGUCGGCCGCACCGAACUUUUGGAACCCACCACCAUGGAUAUAAUUAUUAUUCAAGUUUAUUAUAACACUACUAUACCCAUAUUAAUAUCCAAAUAUAGGCCGAUCUUAAUCAUA